AUUGAACGCUGGCGGCAGGCCUAACACAUGCAAGUCGAACGAGUGGCGGACGGGUGAGUAAUGUCUGGGAAACUGCCUGAUGGAGGGGGAUAACUACUGGAAACGGUAGCUAAUACCGCAUACCAUCGGAUGUGCCCAGAGUGGCUUAGCUAGGAGGUGGGGUAACGGCUCACCUAGGCGACGCUCCCUAGCUGGUCUGAGAGGAUGACCAGUCCCACUGGAACUGUGACACGGUCCAGCCUCCUACGGGAGGCAGCAGUGGGGAAUAUUGCACAAUUGGCGCAAGCCUGAUGCAGCCAUGCCGCGUGUAUGAAGAAGGCCUUCGGGUUGUAAAGUACUUUCAGCGGGUAGGCGUUACCCGCAGAAGAAGCACCGGCUAACUCCGUGCCAGCAGCCGCGGUAAUAC
rnacentral:rRNA from 1 species